AUUGAACGCUGGCGGCAGGCCUAACACAUGCAAGUCGAGCGGAUGAAGGGAGCUUGCUCCUGGAUUCAGCGGCGGACGGGUGUGUAAUGCCUAGGAAUCUGCCUGGUAGUGGAGGAUAACGUCCGGAAACGGGCGCUAAUACCGCAUACGUCCUGAGGGAGAAAGUGGGGGAUCUUCGGACCUCACGCUAUCAGAUGAGCCUAGGUCGGAUUAGCUAGUUGGUGGGGUAAAGGCCUACCAAGGCGACGAUCCGUAACUGGUCUGAGAGGAUGACCAGUCACACUGGAACUGAGACACGGUCCAGACUCCUACGGGAGGCAGCAGUGGGGAAUAUUGGACAAUGGGCGAAAGCCUGAUCCAGCCAUGCCGCGUGUGUGAAGAAGGUCUUCGGAUUGUAAAGCACUUUAAGUUGGGAGGAAGGGCAGUAAGUUAAUACCUUGCUGUUUUGACGUUACCAACAGAAUAAGCACCGGCUAACUUCGUG
rnacentral:rRNA from 1 species